UACAGAGGGUGCAAGCGUUAAUCGGAAUUACUGGGCGUAAAGCGUGCGUAGACGGUUGCGUAAGUCAGAUGUGAAAGCCCCGGGCUCAACCUGGGAAUUGCAUUUGAGACUGCGUAGCUAGGGUGCGGAAGAGGGAAGCGGAAUUUCCGGUGUAGCGGGUGAAAUGACGUAGAUAUCGGAAGGAACACCAGUGGCGAAAGCGGCUUCCUGGUCCAGCACCGACGUCAGGCACGAAAGCGUGGGGAGCAAACAGG
rnacentral:rRNA from 1 species